UGGGGCGUCGCCAAGCGGUAAGGCAACGGUUUUUGGUACCGUCACCCCUGGUUCGAAUCCAGGCGCCCCAGCCA
rnacentral:tRNA from 15 species